rnacentral:rRNA from 1 species
CUACGGAGGAUGCGAGCGUUAUCCGGAUUUAUUGGGUUUAAAGGGAGCGUAGGUGGAUUGUUAAGUCAGUUGUGAAAGUUUGCGGCUCAACCGUAAAAUUGCAGUUGAAACUGGCAGUCUUGAGUACAGUAGAGGUGGGCGGAAUUCGUGGUGUAGCGGUGAAAUGCUUAGAUAUCACGAAGAACUCCGAUCGCGAAGGCAGCUCACCGGGCCGGAACUGACACUGAUGCUCGAAAGUGCGGGUAUCAAACAGGAUUAGAUACCCUGGUAGUCCGCACAGUAAACGAUGAAUACUCGCUGUUUGCGAUACACUGUAAGCGGCCAAGCGAAAGCGUUAAGUAUUCCACCUGGGGAGUACGCCGGCAACGGUGAGACUCAAAGGAAUUGACGGGG